AUGACGGCCCAUACACCUACGGGUGGCAGCAACUGGGAAUAUUCGACAAUGGGCGAAAGCCUGAUCGAGCGACGCCGCGUGGAGGAUGAAGGCCCUCGGGUUGUAAACUCCUUUUAUGUGGGAAGAUUAUGACGGUACCACAAGAAUAAGCACCUGCUAACUACGUGCCAGAAGCCUCGGUAAUACGUAGGGUGCGAGCGUUAUCCGGAAUCAUUGGGCGUAAAGAGUUGCGUAGGCAGGAAAAUGCAUCUUGCUUGAAAGCCUAUGGCUCAACCAUAGAUUUAGGCAAGAUAUGAUUUUUCUAGAGGGAAGGAUAGGGUAUUGGAACUGAUCAUGGAGCGGUGAAAUGUGUUGAUAUGAUCAGGAACGCCGAAGGUGUAGACAGAUACCUGGACUUCUUCGUCCACAGGACGACCACCCUUUGGGUGGCCUGACGCUGAGGCACGAAAGCUUGGGGAGCGAAAAAGAUUAGAGACCUUUGUAGUCCAAGCCGUAAACAAUGUCUGCUGGUUAUUGAUCCACCUUUGGUGGGGCAGUGACGAAGCUAACGCGUUAAGCAGACCGCCUGGGGAGUACGAACGCAAGUUUAAAACUCAAAGGAAUUGACGGGGACCUGCACAAGCAGUGGAGCGUGUGGUUUAAUUCGAGACAAAGCGAAAAACCUCACCAGGACUUGACAUGCUAGAGUUCCAGGUCGAUGAAAGUCGACCAAUUCGCAAGAAGGCUAGCACAGAUGCUGCAUGGCAGCCGUCAGCUCGUGGCGUGAGAUUUGAAAAAAAAUCUGUCGCGCCCGCUGAUCGUAAUGUCAGAUGGAAAAUUCAGCUCAUAUCGGUGAAGCUACUUGAUAUUUGGAUAAUAUUCGGAUAUUGUAAAUGUAGUAAUACCGAGGGAAGCUUACUAGUUAUCGGUUUGUGGAAAAAGUUAUCGGUUUUCAGAUUUCGGUUUUCGGAUGGUAGUUUGUCUGUUUU
rnacentral:rRNA from 1 species